UAGAUACAGUAUACAACAGGGAUUGGAAACGGCCCGGUAUCACGUGAUCUUUCCCUUAACAUUUCAAUGAGACAACAAAAAUUGUCAAAAAAACCUAGGCGUGUUACGGGUUAAAAAUAGAUAUCCAGGGAUAUUCUUCAGAAAAGUCUCGAGAAAGUCAUCUGUCUAAUGACUUUUUAAGAUUUGAGUGGUCCCCAUUCUAGGAAAACUUUGGCUGCAUAAAGCUCUCUUUCAAAGCUUCUACAUUGAUGACACAACAGCUGUUAUGAUGAGAUGUCUAGAUUGGUGUGACUAUUAUCCAAUGUACUGAGUGUUUUUAAUCUUAAUUUUCUCUUAAGCCGUGUUUUAUUGAGGACAUCAAGAAUAGUCGGACCUACGGCGGAAUUUCUCCCUCUGGCAACUUCACUAUGACUAAUAACGAAAAUCUGUGGCAUUAGUAUUGUUCCCUAGGAAUCUCUCCAAUGUAAUGAGCUACAAUGAAGUGACUAUUUUUGUCCUGUGGAUAUUUGGAAGGCUGUUUCUGCAAGUGAAGAAUACUGCCGUUUAUUGAUUACUUUUGAUAAACUUGCUAUGCAUGCAACUUUUAUUUGAUUCCAACUAUUAGUUUUUACAUUAUAGAAUA
rnacentral:lncRNA from 1 species